CACGUAGGGGGCGAGCGUUGUCCGGAUUUAUUGGGCGUAAAGCGUGCGCAGGCGGUUAUGUAAGACAGAUGUGAAAUGCCCGGGCUUAACCUGGGAACUGCAUUUGUGACUGCAUGGCUAGAGUUUGGCAGAGGGGGGUAGAAUUCCACGUGUAGCAGUGAAAUGCGUAGAUAUGUGGAGGAACACCGAUGGCGAAGGCAGCCCCCUGGGUCAAGACUGACGCUCAUGCACGAAAGCGUGGGGAGCAAACAGG
rnacentral:rRNA from 1 species